rnacentral:rRNA from 1 species
AGGGCUGCAAUACCGCAAGGUGGAGCGAAUCCCAAAAAGCCGGUCUCAGUUCGGAUUGGGGUCUGCAACUCGACCCCAUGAAGUCGGAAUCGCUAGUAAUCGCGAAUCAGAAUGUCGCGGUGAAUACGUUCCCGGGUCUUGUACACACCGCCCGUCACACCAUGGGAGCGGGUUUUACCAGAAGUAGGUAGCUUAACCGCAAGGAGGGCGCUUACCACGGUAGGAUUCGUGACUGGGGUGAAGUCGUAACAAGGUAGCCGUAUCGGAAGGUGCGGCUGGAUCACCUCCUU